GUAGGGAAUAUUGGACAAUGGGCGGAAGCCUGAUCCAGCCAUGCCGCGUGGAGGAUGACUGCCCUCUGGGUUGUAAACUCCUUUUGUACAGGAAGAAACCUCCUCAUUUAUGAGUGAGCUGAUGGUACUGUAAGAAUAAGCACCGGCUAACUCCGUGCCAGCAGCCGCGGUAAUACGGAGGGUGCAAGCGUUAUCCGGAAUCACUGGGUUUAAAGGGUACGUAGGCGGUUAAUUAAGUCAGUAGUGAAAGACUGUCGCUCAACGACGGAUGUGAUAGUGAUACUGGUUAACUUGACUCAGGUUAGAGUUGGCGGAAUGGGUCAGGUAGCGGUGAAAUGCUUAGAUAUGACUUGGAACACCGAUAGCGAAGGCAGCUGACUGAGCCUUGAUUGACGCUGAGGUACGAAAGUGUGGGUAGCGAACAGGAUUAGAUACCCGAGUAGUCC
rnacentral:rRNA from 1 species